AUUGAACGCUGGCGGCAUGCUUUACACAUGCAAGUCGAACGGCAGCGCGGGCUUCGGCCUGGCGGCGAGUGGCGAACGGGUGAGUAAUGCAUCGGAACGUGCCCAGUAGUGGGGGAUAGCCCGUCGAAAGCCGGAUUAAUACCGCAUACGACCUGAUGGUGAAAGCGGGGGACCGAAAGGCCUCGCGCUAUUUGAGCGGCCGAUGUCGGAUUAGCUAGUUGGUGGGGUAAAGGCUUACCAAGGCGACGAUCCGUAGCUGGUCUGAGAGGACGACCAGCCACACUGGGACUGAGACACGGCCCAGACUCCUACGGGAGGCAGCAGUGGGGAAUUUUGGACAAUGGGGGCAAACCUGAUCCAGCCAUGCCGCGUGCGGGAAGAAGGCCUUCGGGUUGUAAACCGCUUUUGUUCGGGAAGAAAUCCUCUGGGCUAAUACCCCGGGGGGAUGACGGUACCGGAAGAAUAAGCACCGGCUAACUACGUG
rnacentral:rRNA from 1 species